AUUGAACGCUGGCGGCGUGCCUAACACAUGCAAGUCGAGCGGUAACAGGUGUAGCAAUACAUGCUGACGAGCGGCGGACGGGUGAGUAACGCUUGGGAAUCUGCCUAUUAGUGGGGGACAACCCGGGGAAACUCGGGCUAAUACCGCAUACGCUCUACGGAGGAAAGCCGGGGACCGCAAGGCCUGGCGCUAAUAGAUGAGCCCAAGUCGGAUUAGCUAGUUGGUAGGGUAAUGGCCUACCAAGGCGACGAUCCGUAACUGGUCUGAGAGGACGACCAGUCACACCGGAACUGAGACACGGUCCGGACUCCUACGGGAGGCAGCAGUGGGGAAUAUUGGACAAUGGGCGAAAGCCUGAUCCAGCGACGCCGCGUGGGUGAAGAAGGCCUGCGGGUUGUAAAGCCCUUUCAGUGGGGAAGAAAAGCCUCGACCUAACACGUCGGGGUCUUGACGUAACCCAUAGAAGAAGCACCGGCUAACUCUGUGCCAGCAGCCGCAGU
rnacentral:rRNA from 1 species